UACAGAGGUCCCAAGCGUUGUUCGGAUUUACUGGGCGUAAAGGGCGCGUAGGCGGCACCGCAAGUCGACUGUGAAAUCUCCGGGCUUAACCCGGAAAGGUCAGCCGAUACUGCGGGGCUAGAGUGCAGAAGGGGCAACUGGAAUUCUCGGUGUAGCGGUGAAAUGCGUAGAUAUCGAGAGGAACACCUGCGGCGAAGGCGGGUUGCUGGGCUGACACUGACGCUGAUGCGCGAAAGCUAGGGGAGCGAACGGG
rnacentral:rRNA from 1 species